ensembl:lncRNA
GUGGGGGGGAGUGGUGUGAUGUGAUGGGUCUCAGGUCUGCCCACUUAAUGGAGACUCCAAGCGUAAGCAGGUGGGUUUUGCCUCCUACCACUGGUUCGUAGCCAUGACGACACAUAUUGGUCUCUGGUGGGUAGUCACUACUGUACUGUGAAAUCAAUAUCAGAAUAUGACCUUUACUGGUGCAAUAGAAAAGCAAGGCCAUGCUAUAGCUGUGUAGACUCCACAAUGUUAUAAAAACAUACACAAACUCAGUUUCUGAAUACCCUCCCUGAAGGACAGGGAGAAGUGCAAGUGCAUUCUCACGUAAUCUGCUAACAAGUUCAUAAUUUAUAUUAUAGCGAACAUGACAUGAGUGUAUAUCCUAUUUACAGAAGGAAUCACUUAACACAUGUUUCUAUGGAUCCAUUGAUUGGACCCCUGUCUAUGAAAUAUUUAACAUAAUAAUCUCUUUUAACCCCACUGCCGCCUACUAUAACCUAGUUAUGACCUCCCAGUUACGUGGUUCAUACCGUAUGAGUGUAUUUGUGUAUGCAUGGUCAUACCGUCUCUAUUUCUAACCACAGUGGUUGAAGGGCAGUGAAUACUUUCGACUUCAGAGUCAGUCCGAGACUGAAUAUACAAACAGAAACAUGCUCACAUCAUGUAUUCCUAAAAAAAAGCCACAGUAGAAUCUGUAGUAAUGUACGCUGGUCUGUACAAGAGCUUAAGUGUUUAGGGAAAUCAGCAAUGCCCCUGUUUGGUUAAGAGCACAGCUCCAGAAGCCUGUUUGGGGAUAUAAACAGGAGUUUGGGAGUGGCCACUAACAAGAACAAGAAUGUCAUUGACUUCUGUAAGUAAUCCCCCAUAUGGUCAGGGAUAGACAGGAUGUUUUUUUUAAACCAGACAUCUGGGCAUUUUUGAAAGCAAGGACAUGGAGGAAGGUUAAAGAAAACCAAUCAAGUGAUAUCACAGUCGAAGACUUUGUUUAUUUUGACUUUUUAAUUGUUUAUCACUUGCUUUAGAUAAAGGUGUCUCCUAUGCAUACAGUAGUAGACCUUCAUCAUGUAUCAUCAACCUGGGUCUCCACGGACAUAGCCCCAGGUAUUGCUCUUUGAACCAGUCUCUUGAAGAUCUUGUCUCCGUCUUAUUCUUCAACUUCACUUGACAUCUCAAAACAGAUUGACUCGCAGAGCACCUUUCACUAUGAGCAACAACAGAGGCGAUUUUCACUUUCCAUGCGUGGCACGAGCUACGUGAGUCACCGGAGAUUCAGGGGGAAUUCAAACCUCAAGCGGGGGGCGGAAGGGGGGGUUUCCGUCGGAGGCGGCCCUCGCUCUAGAGGCAGGGAAGUCUUUGACAGUGACAUGAGAAGGAACUACUAAAAGCAGCGGUGUUCAGACCAAGGCAGCUCCAGAGAUCCAACGUUGAUUUCGAGAGAGAAAGUGUGUGAAUGAGAAAGACUUCUGAGGACUACUGUUUCUUCUUUGACUUCUCUCUCGGCGGGCUCGUCUUGUUCUUAAUCUAAUUCGUGUAGCCUAUACUCUUUGAGACCUAAUCAAUGCAUCAUCAACUGAAAGAUGCAGCCAAGAGGCUGCUGCGCUGGCUGCGCUCACGGGAAUCCUCGGAGCCGGACAGCAAAACACCCGAGAUGGAAGUAGAGGAAGGGAAAGCCUUGGCACAUCGGUUCCAGGUGAUCGAAUCAUGUGUGGGACUGCUGGGCUGUUUGUGUGUGUCCUACGCCGUGUGGGCUCCUGGCUGGCUAGAUAGCCAAGGACUCUGGACCAUGAUCAACAGCACCAGCUCCAACAGCGACUGGACAAGAGAGCACAUGGUCAAAGCGCUGGAGUCUGAGCAGGUGUUUGCCGUGCUGGCCUUCGUGAUGUCGGUCUGCUCGGGGUGUCUGUGCCUCGUGUUUGCCCUCUGCUGGAGAUAUGAGACGGUGCACUCAUACUCCAACACGCGCUCUCUUCUGAUGGCAGGAACAGCUCUCUUCCCCACUACUCUGCUGCUCAUCACCCUCACCUCAACAGGUUUUUUCUUCAUCCUCUCGUGGGCACUCUUUACUCACCAGCAUCUGGCAGAGAUCCAAGAGGACAUCUCCCGUCUGGGCUCCUCCUAUUGGCUGGGGGCUGUUGGCUGGGCCCUCCUAUUGGCCGUGGAGCCUGUCGUGUUUCUGGUGGAGCAAGUCAUGGUACCGGACCUCCUUCCUUACAUGAUGCCGUCUGUGGGCUUAAGCACCGAAGGCUACAACACCAUCUUUAUGGGGCGCUCACACAGCGAGGGCCAUAACGCCAGGCGGCCGCAGAAGCAGCGGGGUUUCACGUCACUGUCCCUGAACCCCCAUCACUCCCUCCGCAUGGAUGUGUGAUGGCUUGUGCGUAGUCACACUCACGAGCUGUGGCAGAGGCCGGGAGGUACAGAGCUGUGUUCAUGCAAUGUGUAAAACUCACUUGCCGACACCUUGAGACAAGUGCGAGGGUGCUACUGACGCUAGACCCUGUGGGGUUUAAGCCGGCUUGCUAGCACGCCUGCUUACCGUGUCAGGACUUUGCAGGAUUUCCCCGCAGUGCAGGACUGGGUUUCUCCCUAUACAGGUUACCGAAGCAGGGAUGUCCUUGGAUGAGUGAGAGGGAAGAGCAGAGGUGAGGAAGAGGAGCUACUUCCUCCUCCUCUGACGUUGGUGUCUGAUAAUACUCAUGCUAAGUGUGUAUUAAGCUGCUUCUGGUGCUGCUUCAGUGUUAUGUGUGAGGUACAGAGGGGGGCACUUUUAAACAUUAAUGUUUUUACUACAAAUAUAUUUUUUAAAUCCACAACCCUGUCCUGAGCUCUAUUUGUGAUUAAUGUGGCUUCACUGGCUGUGGAAUAUACACUUUAAACGACCAUCUGCUUGCUAAAGCUUUUAUUACACUUGACUGUGAGGAGUAGUAUUCUAUUUUCACUUGCAGUCACACUACAGCCAGAGAGGAUAUGUGCAAUCUAUGCUAUGUAUGAACAUUACCUUGUGCAGUGGGGCAAUGACAGAUUCUGGAUUUUCCUAUGAAAACCUGGUUACUGCCAUUGCGUUUUGGUUAAGCUGUUCCACAGAUUCAGCUGCAGUAUCACAUAUAACGUAAUAGAAAAGAUGACAUUUUUAAUCACCAUUUUCAAAGAAUGCCUCAUUGAAAAAAAGACAAGCUUGUUGCUGGUUUAAGUCCUUUUGCUGUUUGCUCCACUGUGUUGGUCUUUUGUUGGUUUUAACUCAGUGAUUCUAAUGUUAUAGUGAUUUAUGCUAAGAGACCAGCAAGACCUUGCUGAUAAGGCUGUGGAAAACACACACUUGUCUGUUGCUGGUUUUUGACCGUCUUGGAGUAGCAUGGUUUCUAGUCACCAACAAAGCACUACGUAUGCUGGCCAAGGAUGCUACUCUCAGGCAUAUCAUCAUAAAAAACAGCUAACGACCAGUGAAUGCUUUUCUGUUCUGUUUUGUCUUUUUACAAGUUUAAAUAAUGUCAUAAAUGGUGAACAGUAAUGCCUUUUAACAUUUUUGAUAAAGAACUUGUAUUGGAAGGCAAUCUAUUUGUUGUUUACUGUUGUUGUUUACUGAUAUAUAAAGAGCCAAUGACCUUUUUGUCUUCAUGUAAAUACCCACUGUCCAGUUCCCUCUAUAUCUUUCAGUCUCAGUAAUGUGUUAGAUGUGGUAUUUAAUAUAAUAUUUGUGUUUCACUUUGACUGACGUGGGUGGUCGCAUUAUGAAAACUGCUCCUAAGCUCUCCACCGAAGGACUGGCACACUUCAGAGACUAGGGAGGGAUAUAGAGACACUUGUUUGGCAUGUGACCUGCGGACCUUCGCUCGUGGUGCCAGCUGUCUCUGUGGAGGCGUUCAGGAAGUUGUUUAUUUUUUUAUCCGACCAGA